GGCCUAUCAGCUUGUUGGUGGGGUAACGGCCUACCAAGGCUCCGACGGGUAGCUGGUCUGAGAGGACGACCAGCCACACUGGGACUGAGACACGGCCCAGACUCCUACGGGAGGCAGCAGUGGGGAAUCGUGCGCAAUGGGCGAAAGCCUGACGCAGCCAUGCCGCGUGUAUGAUGAAGGUCUUAGGAUUGUAAAAUACUUUCACCGGUGAAGAUAAUGACUGUAGCCGGAGAAGAAGCCCCGGCUAACUUCGUGCCAGCAGCCGCGGUAAUACGAAGGGGGCUAGCGUUGCUCGGAAUUACUGGGCGUAAAGGGAGCGUAGGCGGACAUUUAAGUCAGGGGUGAAAUCCCGAGGCUCAACCUCGGAACUGCCCUUGAUACUGGGUGUCUUGAGUGUGAGAGAGGUAUGUGGAACUCCGAGUGUAGAGGUGAAAUUCGUAGAUAUUCGGAAGAACACCAGUGGCGAAGGCGACAUACUGG
rnacentral:rRNA from 1 species